rnacentral:rRNA from 1 species
UUGCAUUGGAAGAUAGAUACUUCUCAGUGGCGAACGGGUGAGUAACACGUAGGUAACCUGCCCAUGUGCCCGGGAUAAUUUCUGGAAACGGAAACUAAAACCGGAUAGGUAAUAGAGAAGCAUUUCUGUAUUAUUAAAGAAGCCUCAAAGCUUUGAACAUGGAUGGACCUGCGGUGCAUUAGCUAGUUGGUAAGGUAACGGCCUACCAAGGCGACGAUGCAUAGCCGACCUGAGAGGGCGAACGGCCACAUUGGGACUGAGACACGGCCCAAACUCC